rnacentral:rRNA from 1 species
AUUGACCGCUGGCGGCAGGCCUAACACAUGCAAGUCGAGCGGAGCGGCGGACGGGUGAGUAAUUCCUAGGAAUCUGCCUGGUAGUGGGGGAUAACGUCCGGAAACGGGCGCUAAUACCGCAUACUAUCAGAUGAGCCUAGGUCGGAUUAGCUAGCUGGUGGGUUAAAGGCCUACCAAGGCGACGAUCCGUAACUGGUCUUAGAGGAUGAUCAGUCACACGGGAACUGAGAAACGGGCCAGAGGCCUACUGGAGGCAGCAGGGGGGAAUAUUGGACAAUGGGCGAAGGCCGGAUCCAGCCAGUCCGGGGGUGGGAAGAAGGUCGUCGGAUUGUAAAGCACUUUAAGUUGGGAGGCGUUACGAACAGAAUAAGCACCGGCUAACUUCGUGCCAGCAGCCGCGGUAAUUC